GCCUUCGUGGUGUAACGGUAGCACACUUGGCACGUAUUCGAGAGGUCCAGGUUCGAGUCCCGGCGAGGGCA
rnacentral:tRNA from 1 species